rnacentral:tRNA from 1 species
UCCCUUGUAGCUUAGCUGGUAAAGAAUCCGCCUGCAAUGCAGGAGAUCCUGGUUUGAUUCCUGGGUUGGGAA